CUAGAAAGAAGGGGUUUGAACCCUACCUAAAGAGAUCAAAACUCUUCGUGCUUCCACUACACCACUUCCUA
rnacentral:tRNA from 1 species